UAGUAUUUUGGUUGGAGUUUCAUGGAGAGGAUUUUGAGAACUACCAGGAGGAAUGUAUGAUGGAGAAGUACUUGCACUAGGCUGGGCAGAUAACUGGUUAUGUUCAUCUGACAGUUGAGCUUGAUUUGGACCGUGGAAUGAGAAGGUGAAUUUUGAGGAUAUAAUGGCAGCAAUAUCAGGAGGAAUGUUGUCUCUAUUUCUUAUUGAUCUCAUCACAGUUUCAACUGGUUUGCCAACUAUGGAUUGAGCAACAGCAGCAAAGGCAAUCAUCUCUGAUUCUUCAGUUCCAUCGGAAGCAAAAAAUGGCAGCUUGUAUCUAAUUGCAAUUGUAUUUUAGUGUGGUACCAGUAAAUAUGUAUGUGUCUAUAUAGUAGCUUUAAAAAUAAGUAUUAACAUGUUGCUGUUCGAGAGGGAGAGGAAAUAUUAAUUGUAAUUGGAGUGAAAAAGUAUGCAAUGCCAUGUGUAAACUUACUUGUA